AGAGUUUGAUCAUGGCUCAGGAUGAACGCUAGCGGCAGGCUUAACACAUGCAAGUCGAACGGUAACAGAUCUAGCUUGCUAGAUGCUGACGAGUGGCGCACGGGUGCGUAACGCGUAUGCAACCUACCCUUGACAGGGGGAUAGCCCAGAGAAAUUUGGAUUAAUACCCCAUAACACUAUUUUAAGGCAUCUUAAGAUAUUUAAAACUCCGGUGGUCAAGGAUGGGCAUGCGUCCCAUUAGUUAGUUGGUAAGGUAACGGCUUACCAAGACAAUGAUGGGUAGGGGUUCUGAGAGGAUGAUCCCCCACACUGGUACUGAGACACGGACCAGACUCCUACGGGAGGCAGCAGUGAGGAAUAUUGCGCAAUGGACGAAAGUCUGACGCAGCCAUGCCGCGUGCAGGAAGACUGCCUUAUGGGUUGUAAACUGCUUUUAUACAGGAAGAAACUUUUCUACGUGUAGAGAACUGACGGUACUGUAUGAAUAAGGACCGGCUAACUCCGUGCCAGCAGCCGCGGUAAUACGGAGGGUCCAAGCGUUAUCCGGAUUCAUUGGGUUUAAAGGGUGCGUAGGCGGGAUGCUAAGUCAGUGGUGAAAGCCCACAGCUCAACUGUGGAACUGCCAUUGAUACUGGUAACCUAGAGUAUGAUUGAAGUGAGCGGAAUAUGGCAUGUAGCGGUGAAAUGCAUAGAGAUGCCAUAGAACACCGAUAGCGAAGGCAGUUCACUAAGUCAUAACUGACGCUGAUGCACGAAAGCGUGGGUAGCGAACAGGAUUAGAUACCCUGGUAGUCCACGCCGUAAACGAUGAUUACUCGCUGUUGGCGAUACACUGUCAGUGGCUGAGCGAAAGCAUUAAGUAAUCCACCUGGGGAGUACGAUCGCAAGAUUGAAACUCAAAGGAAUUGACGGGGGCCCGCACAAGCGGUGGAGCAUGUGGUUUAAUUCGAUGAUACGCGAGGAACCUUACCAGGGCUUAAAUGUAGAUUGACAGAUUUGGAAACAGAUUUUUCUUCGGACAAUUUACAAGGUGCUGCAUGGUUGUCGUCAGCUCGUGCUGUGAAGUGUCGGGUUAAGUCCCAUAACGAGCGCAACCCCUAUUCUUAGUUGCCAGCGAUUCAAGUCGGGGACUCUAAGAAAACUGCCAGCGCAAGCUGAGAGGAAGGUAGGGAUGACGUCAAAUCAUCACGGCCCUUACGUCCUGGGCUACACACGUGCUACAAUGGUGCAUACAGAGGGCAGCUACCUGGUGACAGGAUGCGAAUCUCAAAAGUGCAUCUCAGUUCGGAUUGAAGUCUGCAACUCGACUUCAUGAAGCUGGAAUCGCUAGUAAUCGCGUAUCAGCCAUGACGCGGUGAAUACGUUCCCGGGCCUUGUACACACCGCCCGUCAAGCCAUGGAAGCUGGGGGUGCCUGAAGUCGGUGACCGCAAGGAGCUGCCUGGGGUAAAACUAGUAACUGGGGCUAAGUCGUAACAAAGGUAACC
rnacentral:rRNA from 1 species